AGGCUUGUCUUGGAAAUUACUGAAUUAUAAAGAUGAAGAAGAUGAAGAAAACCAGAUGUAUGGUAAUUUGAACAUUCUACUUCUGCUCUUCAAUGAUUUAGCUCUAAAAAAUUAUGAAUUGAAUUGUUGUUCUUAAUUUUGAUUAUGUGAAUGUAUAAUGUAUGAGGUUUAGCUCAUUUGGUGAUAAACUUCAAUGGUGUGUGUGUGUGUGUGUGUGUGUGUGUGAGAGAGAGAG
rnacentral:lncRNA from 1 species